UACGUAGGGACCAAGCGUUGUUCGGAUUUACUGGGCGUAAAGGGCGCGUAGGCGGUCAGCACAAGUCAGUUGUGAAAUCUCCGGGCUUAACUCGGAAAGGUCAACUGAUACUGUGCGACUAGAGUGCAGAAGGGGCAACUGGAAUUCUCGGUGUAGCGGUGAAAUGCGUAGAUAUCGAGAGGAACACCUGCGGCGAAGGCGGGUUGCUGGGCUGACACUGACGCUGAGGCGCGAAAGCGUGGGGAGCAAACAGG
rnacentral:rRNA from 1 species